rnacentral:siRNA from 1 species
CUAAUGAAUUUGGGUAGCCUAG